UAUGGUUUUUAUGUUUAAAAAAAAAAGAAUGGGUUGUUACUUAGAUACAUCAACUAUUUUAUACAUUUUAUAUGCAGCCCAGGACAACUCCUCUUCACUCAAUGCGGUGCUGGCAAUUCGAAUGUUUGGACACUCGUGUUUUAAGGGAAGUGAGACCAAGGCAAACAGUCCUUGAAAUGAACCAAGGAAACGGUACUGUUGUUCUUUCAUGUGAGGUAGAGUAGCAGAUUUCUGCUUCACGCUUUGUUUGUUGUAGGAACUCCUGACACAGUCAGAUGUUUUCUAAGCAAUCACUAAUUUCCCCCCUAAUCUUCUCCAUGGCCUAUGCAGGUCCUACUCAUCUACUAACAAUGUUUGAGCAUCAGUUCCCUUGCCAACUAGAGUCCUCUGUCCCUACUGAAGGAAGAGCAAAAUAUAUCCUUCAUUAACUUGCUUGCCCAGAAUCAUCUUCGGUGAAAUGAAACAUAUUUUCUACUGCUUACAAAAGGUAUUUAUGAGUUCUCAGGCCAGAUUACGUCAAACUAUUCUACUAUUUCUGAAAUGUUCAGGAGAAGGAAACACAGUGGGCCUUAUGCAAAAGCAGAUUUCUGACUCCUGACUGUAAAAUCACAACAAAAUCCCAGAAGGCCUAAUUCAGAGAAACAGUUCCCAGGAGUCUUGAACUCUUUUGACUUUCAUCUCUCCAUACCCAACUAUCCAAAAUGCAGCAUCAUCACGCUAAGAAAAAUCAUGGUCUUGGCUUAAAAAAAAUCAAGAUAAAAACAAAAAGGGAACAAAGGCAAGAUAUGUAUUUUAUUUACCUCCUGGAUUUGCAGAACUCUGAUGUUUGUGUCGAGAUACUUUUUACUGUCAUUCUAGUGAUCAGAAAUUUAAAAUGGAAGAAAUAUAAAUACUGAAGACUUUUUUUUUCUGUGGGAUUUUGAGGCUUUAAAAAGCAGAACACUUGAUCGUAGCUAUAUCAAAGGAUCUGUAACACGGUACUGCAUAAUGCUGUGUAGAAAAAUUGUCUCUUUCAGUUUGACCAGGAAAAGGAAGAAAAGAAAAUGACUCUAAACAAGAAAGUCCAGUUCUCCAUCAUGCAGCAUCACUCACACAGCAUCUGCUUCAGAAACACAUCCAAUAGCCUACUGCCAGAGAACAAAUAUCCGCGUUAAUCAUAAACCACAGAUGAGAAUUAAGAAAUUAACCAUGGUUUCCAGGGUAGAAUUCAAAAGACGUUGCUCAGCCAGGAAUUAUUGCCAACAAUAACAAUGUAAAUUCAUUACAUAGAGCUGGCAUGCAAAACUAAAACAGCGACUUUCCAAGGAAGAUCAGCCUUUGAGGCUUUCUGCAGGAUAGCUAGUUCUGUUCUCAGAAACUAACAGAAGGAUUAUGUUAGACACAGAGAGAACAGGCUGCUGUCAACGUGACUACUGAUACUCAACGUUUUGAUGUCUGUUUCCCUCUACAUAUUUCAGGAUUAAGAGAAUGAGACAUUUUCUUUUUUCUUUUUUUCUAAAUAGAACUUCCUAGCAACACUGAGAAGUUCCCUAUGUGUAGGAAAUCUACAUUCAGUAGUAUAACACUUGUGACUUUAUAGAGUAUGUUAAACCUCCUGUGCAUGCAGAUAUAUAGCUGACACCAGGGAGAACUGCAGGAGAACCUAACUGGAGCUCUGUGCAAUUAAUUCAUUUUCCAGAUCCGUCAGAACCAUCCAUUCACUGCAAAAUGAAAAUUCACUUUGAUAAUGUGGGCUAUUCAUAUCACUAUUCUUGGAAGAAAAGACAGCUGCACUUCCAUGUAUGAGCAUAUAGAUGUCCUAAGCUGACAGGCAUCCACUCACUGAGGGGCAGUUGUUUUAUACUGCUAAGAUUAGCAAAUAAGAGAUUUCUUAUGUUCAACGUACGGUUUGAUGUUAUAGCUGAGCUGCUGAACUGCUGCAGAAAAGGGCUGUCCUGGUCCCUUGCUGUCUGGUUUCGCACCAUUUGAAUAAUACAGCCAUAAAAGGGAGUUGGCUGAGUUGGUUGAUCUAUCGGAAAGGGAUUUGAAACAAGAGGUGGGCACAUAAGAACACAAUGGAUAAAGAGGGUGUGACCGCCCUUCUUGGCAGCUCCCAGGUAUUAAUCUGACAUGACUGCACUGCCAUAUCACAGCUUCAACAUCUUCUGUGAAACAGUUCCUGGUGCAAAACCAGCAAAAUGUGUCCAAAAACUUUUGAGCUCAUUAUGAUUGCUCCAUCUGGCCCAAAACCAGAACUGCAAUACUCUUCUUAUCUACAUUAGUGAUUGAUACUUUUAUCUCACCUACUGCUUAUUGGAACCAAGAACUCAUUUGAUAAGCAUCUUUCUGCUACAGAUAAUGUUUCAUGAAUUUUAAGAGAAAAGUAUUUUAUAACUCAGUUUCUCCACUUACCAGCCACAGUACCAGCCACACAGUUUUUUUUUUUUAACUUCUCUGGGCUCAGGCUUUGAACUUUUACUUCAUAUUGACUCAGGACAGAAAUGUCACUAUUCCCCAGAGAAUUUGUGAAAAUAAUUUAUUUUCAGCCUUAAACUUUCAUUUGCAGUAAGACUGGACGGCCUUGUUUUUACUCAUAUCCGAAUUUAAACCCUGUGAUUUCCCAAAUGUAUUAAAUUGCAGUGUGAUCUAAAAUGCAACGUGGUGAAGGCUAAAUAAAACCUGUUCAGUGCUAUUUUCAAGAGAGGUGUUGUGAUAACUCCUCACAGGUAAUCCCACAUAAACAAUUCUUUUUCUCAAAAGUUCUAUUCUUAAGCCAACAAAAGCUGUUAAAGACCUUUCAGCGGAGUAGCAUUUUUUGUCAGGACACUUCUAAAUUAUCAUCUUCUUUUACAUGACAUGGACAAUAACUAUGCAUGAAAGCCUUGCUCCAUUUUUAGGUUACCUGCCUACACACCUUUUUUGUACUGAUAUACUUUUCCAAUAAAGCAUUAGCUCUGUUACAAAAUGACACACAGAAUGCCUCCACAGCUAAAAUGAGGAUUCCAGUCUUCCAUAGCCCUUUUCCUAAAGAGCUGUUAAUUAGCUUCAUGAAACUACACAGAGGGCACUAGGUCAAGGUUUUAAAGAAAAGUUUGUUGGUUUUUUUGUUUGUUUGUUUGUUUGUUUGUUUUUCCCUGAGAUAAUGGGAAAUGAAAAAGAAGAUGGUAAAAGAUAAUCAUCAACUCGAAUAUUUGUAAACAGAAGAGUUACAGACAGCUCCUGAACACCAAGGCCAGAGAAAUCAGCUGGCUCAAAAUUACGCUGCUUGGGCCUCCCCCCCUCACACAUCCUUGCCUUAGAGAGAAUCAAGGAGUGAAAUAACAGUGAAAGGCUCCAAUCAUGCCUUUUCCACCGUCUCACUGACACAUGGAAGAUCUAGAUGUCAAAACCAGAAAGAGAAGAUGAGAUUUCCUUCAUGCAUACAGGCACAAAUAGGGUAUAGAUCAGGUUACUAUAACAUUAGGGCAAGGACAGUUUGGCUUCUACUAGCCCUGCCUGUUCCAACAUUAUUUGUGAGGAGCCCUUUUGCACAUCAGAUAGAUAAACAGCAAGGGCUUAGCUGGAAUACAUUUCACUCUUCUGAGGCAUACCCAAAUCAAUGGGAGAAGGAUGGCACAGAUUCACCUGAUGACUCUUCUUUAAAGCAUCAGUUCUUUCAACGGUAUUUUUCAAACUCAUAUCUGAGCCCUGCAAAGGAAAGAAGACUGAUAAAGUACAAACCAAUAAUCAGACACAGCACCUAAAACUUUUCUUCAGAUUGUAUAUUUGAAUCUAGUUAUGUCUACAGACACCCUCUCGCAUCAUUCAAGCAUCUAUGCAUUUUGCUACUUUUGGAAUUGGUGGUCAUUUAAUAGAAAUACUGAAUACCCAGUGCUCACUGCAGUUGCUGUGACUUUGAAAAGUCCUACCAGUUUGUUGACAGUGCCAAUCCUUUAAGGACCUAGACAUCCUGCAUGGUGACAUGCUGUUGAUACUGAGGAUCACUGAUGUGUUUAAGCAAGGAGGAAAGGCCACAUGCAUACAGUAACAACCAAGCAGGUACAUAAGUGAUGGCUGGAUUACAGCUUCACAGCACAAAGCUGAGAACAACUCAAGGGUAGAGAGCACAGAACAAGAGUACUCACAGCGAAUAAAACAAUAUUAAAAUCAUUAAAAAUAUUCAAAAUAAGCAGAGCAAGCUUCAAGCCUUCCAAGCCUUUACUGACAUGGGCAAAGUUGCUUGACUUCAGUGCCUAAAGAUCUCCAUAGUAACUGCCAUUUGGGAUUUUCAGAACAUUUUAUGAACAUGUUUGAGCAUACAUGAUUGCAUGCUUUACAGCAUAUCUGCCUCGAGGGUUUUGCUGAGUAUCAUUUCCCUGAUUUUAUAAAUAGAGAAACUGAGUGCUUACGUGUCUCGUUCAAAGUAUUUACACAAAGGAGUCCCUGAGGACUAUGAACACCGCUGCUCGGAGUCUAGAAAUCUGUCUACUUCUCCUAGAGAUACUGUUCAAGUGAAUGGGUGCAGCAAAGCAACUGGUACGGCACAGAGGUGGAGGACUGGUAUGCUGGAAUUUCAAACACUUUGGGACACUUUCUGCUCCCCUCAAGAAAACUUAAAUCACUUAAAUAUAUGUGGUUAAACAAAGUACGGAUAUAUAUCCCCUUGGUUUAUUUCAACGACAUGAAUGCAAACAGGCUAAGUUGGUGAGAAGUGUAUGUAGAAUCUCUUACUGUGUGGUAGGUGAACGGAGUCAGAGGAACUUUAGGAAUAACACUUAAAGUCCCUUGAUUUGAGAAGAAAGCCGUGCCACUUCCUUGUGAUGUCUGUGUGACACUCAUAGUGUGAAACAGCUGAAUGACUUAAAGUUUUAUGCAUUUCUUUACAUGACUGCCAGCAUAAACAUUCUAUUACAAGAAUCUGUUCCUCUCUGGCAUUUUAUGUAAGAUCAGACUGGCGUUUCUGCUAGAACUGCUAUGAACCUGGGCUCUUCAGGCAUCUGGAUACACUAAUAGCAGACAAGAAUUCUUCACUGGACAUUUUAGUCAGGACCCCACCGUUUCUGACUAAUGCAAUUAUCAGAUUAUGCCAGAUGACAUUGGAACAAAGCUAGCAGCCACCAUGCAUGCUCUGCCCCUGCACAGAGAGCCCAUUCACCUACAUGUCUGCCAUCAGUUUGCUUUCAGCUGUCUUCCUAAAGGUAAUGAUAAGAUGGGAUUAAAAUGAGAUCUCCUGGCCCUCAGAGAACACUUAUUCAGUCUCGGAUUGCUAUUAUCUUUCUCUUCAUUUAGCAACUUUCUGGCAUUCUCCACCAAGGAAAGUAGAAAAAAAAAUAGAGAUAUUGAUGGCAGACCCCUCUUCUUUCCUGAUUUCAUCUGGAAAUGAAGCUUGGAAAUUGUCUUUCCUGACAAGCUUUCCUUGAAGAACCACUUGAAGUUCCAAAAGUGAUAACUGAGAAUCAUUUCACCAAGCACAGCGACUCCACAGCCAACCCAGCCUCCCUGAUCUCAAUUAAGACAACUUAGUAAAGACGUUUGUUUAGCGUUUCCAACAACUCUUUCUUCUAGUUACGGUUGAAGAGAUGAAAGGAAGCGUGAACUCAGCCUCAAGAAGCGAAACCAGGCUGAACAAACCAGAUGAUUCCGAAUCAGCCUUGCCUCCGGCUGCUGGCUGACAGCUCUCUGUUCAGCUCUGCUGGGUAACAAGGGGAGGGGAAAGGCACACUGGUGGGUGAGGCAAAGGGAGUGGGAAGCAGGCCAAGGAAGGAGCCUUUCCUCUGUUGUGUAAUCCAGAAUGCAUGCUGCGGUGCUAAUAGUGAGAUGAGAAGUGCCUUCCAGCUUCCAGUCAUCCUGUUGAUGACUUAAACAGCAUGUGAAUAAGAUUUAUGGGGAAAGACUUAUAUACAAGUGUAAAGAAAAGUACAUAGCCAGAACGCUUAAACAAACACAGCAACACAAGUAACCUUGAAACAUGCAGCCUUAUGGGUUUCUUGUUUAACUCUGCUUUCUGUUGGUUCAAUGAGAAUAUUUUUAUAAACCUAACUCCAUCUAUUCAACUAUAUAAAAUUAACCUAUAGCUGUCAGAAUCUGCAUUUGUUCAAUAAGGAAAAUAAAGAAAGAAAGUGCAAG
rnacentral:lncRNA from 1 species